GGUCCAUAGCUCAGUGGUAGAGCAA
rnacentral:siRNA from 1 species